rnacentral:rRNA from 1 species
GGGCCCGCACAAGCGGUGGAGCAUGUGGUUUAAUUCGAUGAUACGCGAGGAACCUUACCAGGGCUUAAAUGUAAGUUGCAUAGACCAGAGAUGGUCUUUUCUUCGGACUACUUACAAGGUGCUGCAUGGUUGUCGUCAGCUCGUGCCGUGAGGUGUCAGGUUAAGUCCUAUAACGAGCGCAACCCCUGUCGUUAGUUGCCAUCAAGUAAAGUUGGGUACUCUAGCGAGACUGCCGGUGCAAACCGUGAGGAAGGUGGGGAUGACGUCAAAUCAUCACGGCCCUUACGUCCUGGGCUACACACGUGCUACAAUGGCCGGUACAGAGAGCAGCCACUACGCGAGUAGGAGCGAAUCUAUAAAACCGGUCUCAGUUCGGAUCGCAGUCUGCAACUCGACUGCGUGAAGCUGGAAUCGCUAG